rfam:Methanobacterium sp. SWAN-1, complete genome.
GCUCCGGUAGUGUAGUCCGGCCAAUCAUUUUGGCCUCUCGAGCCAAAGACUCGGGUUCGAAUCCCGGCCGGAGCA